AUUGAACGCUGGCGGCAGGCUUAACACAUGCAAGUCGAGCGGGGUGAUGGUGCUUGCACUAUCACUUAGCGGCGGACGGGUGAGUAAUGCUUAGGGAUCUGCCUAUUAGUGGGGGACAACAUCUCGAAAGGGAUGCUAAUACCGCAUACGUCCUACGGGAGAAAGCAGGGGAUCACUUGUGACCUUGCGCUAAUAGAUGAGCCUAAGCCGGAUUAGCUAGUUGGUGGGGUAAAGGCCUACCAAGGCGACGAUCUGUAGCGGGUCUGAGAGGAGGAUCCGCCACACUGGGACUGAGACACGGCCCAGACUCCUACGGGAGGCAGCAGUGGGGAAUAUUGGACAAUGGGGGGAACCCUGAUCCAGCCAUGCCGCGUGUGUGAAGAAGGCCUUAUGGUUGUAAAGCACUUUAAGCGAGGAGGAGGCUCUUUUGGUUAAUACCCAAGAUGAGUGGACGUUACUCGCAGAAUAAGCACCGGCUAACUCUGUGCCAGCCGCCGCCGUAA
rnacentral:rRNA from 1 species